rnacentral:rRNA from 1 species
GACGGGGGGGGCAAGUGUUCUUCGGAAUGACUGGGCGUAAAGGGCACGUAGGCGGUGAAUCGGGUUGAAAGUGAAAGUCGCCAAAAAGUGGCGGAAUGCUCUCGAAACCAAUUCACUUGAGUGAGACAGAGGAGAGUGGAAUUUCGUGUGUAGGGGUGAAAUCCGUAAAUAUACGAAGGAACGCCAAAAGCGAAGGCGGCUCACUGGCCCGGUACUGACGCUGAGGUGCGAAAGCGUGGGAGCAAACAGG